rnacentral:rRNA from 1 species
UACGUAGGGUCCGAGCGUUGUCCGGAAUUACUGGGCGUAAAGAGCUCGUAGGUGGUUUGUCGCGUCGAAUGUGAAAACCCGGGGCUCAACCCCGGGCCUGCAUUCGAUACGGGCAGACUAGAGUUCGGUAGGGGAGUCUGGAAUUCCUGGUGUAGCGGUGAAAUGCGCAGAUAUCAGGAGGAACACCGGUGGCGAAGGCGGGACUCUGGGCCGAUACUGACGUGAGGAGCGAAAGCGUGGGGGAGCAAACAGG